rnacentral:sRNA from 1 species
GGUAUACCUCUAGUUUGGAGCUGUGCUGUAAAAACAAGAGUAACAUUCUUAUAUUAAAGUUAAAUAAAGUUACAACUUUGAAGAGAGUUUCUGCAAGACAUGACACAAAGCUGCUAGCAGAAAAUCAAAACACUGAUUAAAAGAAGCACGUUAAACUAACUCGAGAUUCUCAGAGUUUAUGCCCAUAUGAUUGGAUUGGUUUCCAAAACAAAUGCUAUUAUUUCUCUAAAGAAGAAGGAGAUUGGAAUUCAAGUAAAUACAACUGUUCCACUCAACAUGCCGACCUAACUAUAAUUGACAACAUAGAAGAAAUGGUAAGUAAUUUAAUAUACAUUCUUUGUGAAUUUCUUGAGUCGGAGCAUUAGAAAUAUUCAAACACCAUUAUAAUCUUGAAGUCUUUUCACUCAUGCCUAUCUAUGCAGAAAAUUGAAGAUGUUCAGAAUAUGCCAUGUGACAUAAAGGUGAAACACCUAGUGAUGCUUUGUUUGAAGAACAUAAGACUAACAUCAAGUAGUAGACUUAAUACCUAUCUUUAUAUUUUAAAGAGCGUACACAGAAGAGCUUGAUAAUGUUUGAAAACGUUUUAAGAGCCAGUACUCCACCAAGAAAGGAGAAUUGUCUGAGGAAGGAGGGGAUUCUGCAUUCUACUUCCUGAGAGAAACUUUGCUCUGACUUCUCCAUUUUGUUUUGCUGCCUGUCUCUGAGGUCCUGUGGCAGCUUCCAUUAGAACACUCUCUACCAGUAAUGCAAUAGAGAGGAAAAUCAAAAUUUCCUCCUAGACCGGAGUGUCAGUUUUCAGUGAGCAGAUACCAUGUCUUCUGUGAAAUUUUAUCCUUAGCAUUAUGCACAAAGCAGGUAC